UGGCCAACUUGGACCAAACUAGCGGCAUAGCUGAGAUGAGGAAGACCGGGGCUCAGAGAGGUGAUGCAACUUACCCAAGGCCACACAGCCAGGACACGUGGAGCUAAUAUUUGAACCCACACAAAGGGACAAGGUAGGAAGCCCGAGGCACAAAAAGUGCACACAGCUGAUAGGUGGAAGAGCCACAAAGUGAACCAGCUGUCUGAUCCAUCAUCCAGGCCCUUCCUUACUAACGACACCCCUCUACUGAAGGUGGGCUGCACCCCUUUACCCGCAAAGCAAGGCAGGUAGGAAGUCUAAGACCAGGGUGUCAGCGUGGUCAGGCUCUUGGUGAAGGCUCUUCCUGGCUUACAGAUGGCUGUCUUCUUGUGUGAUCUUACGUGGCGGAGAGCUCUGCUCUCUACCACCCUCAUAAGGGCGCUCAUUCCAGCGUGACGACUCCAGCCUCGUGACCUGAUUGUCUCCCAAUGGCUCCGCAUCAAAUAUCUCCACUUUGGGGAUUUAGGCUUCAGCGCACAAACCCGGGGGGACAGAUAUAGUCCGUAUACUUGA